rnacentral:rRNA from 1 species
UACGGAGGCAGCAGUGGGGAAUCUUGCACAAUGGGCGAAAGCCUGAUGCAGCGACGCCGCGUGCGGGACGAAGGCCUUCGGGUUGUAAACCGCUUUCAGCAGGGACGAGGCGAAAGUGACGGUACCUGCAGAAGAAGCCCCGGCUAACUACGUGCCAGCAGCCGCGGUAAU